UCAAAAGAAGGAGAGGUAAAAAAUUCCGCCAAGAUACGAUGUCGUAAGAUGCAUCGGCUCGAAAGCGUAGCUGUACAUAACGAUAAAAUUAAGCAGACCCUGGGGUUUUAGCAGGGGUUUUCUUUCUCAAUCUUAAAAAUGUCGACGGCGGAUUCCUUGUCGGCUUCUGGACGGAGCUCGGAGAAGCUGAGCCUUCCAUCUCUCCAAUCCAAAAUGAAAAUCGACCCAGAAGGUCACGAAAAGGAUCUGGUCUGGUUUACAGCCAAUUCAAGUCGGCUGUGGAGCUUUUUCAACACCAAGCAGCUCUCAAUUUCUCCACAGAAUGACCCCGCCAUUGCCAAGCAUCUCAGUGACCGCGCCACGUUUUUGGCUCAUGUUACACCCUUUUACCCGAAGCAACUCGAUGAGUUCCCCGCUCAACUCGCUGAGUUUCUCAAAUCGUCUGCUCGGACUCUGCCUUCAGGUCUUCGGUAUCAUGAUUCUAAAACGCUUAUUCUACUGAUUAACCGAAGAGCAUACCCAACACCAUUGUUACAAGUACUUUCAAAUGUUUGAGUAAAGAUAACACAUGCGAAAGCCAAUGGUUUAAAUUAGUUAAUAGCACAAGAAGUUCAACCAUGGCAAAACCCUCGUCACUGAUCAGUUCAAUCCUCAAUUUCCCAGCGAAGGAUUUCUUAUGGAAGUUCUUAGGCUCAGUAUAAACUUGUAUAGCAGGAGCUGCCUACGGAGCAAUUUUACAAGGUGCUACUUUGGACAUUCUAGAAGUUCAUUGUCAGGCAUCUCAAGUAAUAUAACAAUAGUCAGGUUGAAUUUAUGUCCGACACAUUACUUAUCUCUAAACAGGCUGUUCUAUCAUACAAGUCCAGUCAAAACAUUCUCUCUUUACUUUUUUGAAUUGCCCAUUAAUUUGUGAUUAUUAUUUUCUAAUUUCGUGAAUUUGAUUGACAUAAUGUGUUUGUAGAUGGUUGAUAUUAGUGAAAACACUAGCGUUAUAUAUGGAGCUUCAAACACUGGGAAAUAGGACAUUGAGGAAAUUGGCUUUUACUCAUGUUGUUCAUAGCAUUAGGAGGAUGAAUAAGCAGCAUAAAAAUGAGGCUAACAAUCGGGUCCUUCAAAAUAUCCUCUUUUCCAUGCUGCAGGUUUGUAAUUUUUUGCAGCCUGGACUAUGAUUUAUCUUUGUGCUUUCGAAGGUUUGGACUGGUUGUUUUUUUAAAAAAAAAAAUGUUCACGUAGCAAGAUGAUGAAGCAUGAGCGAACAGAGCGCUUAUUACACUAUGUGAACUUCACUGAAGAAAGGUGCGGUUUGAUAAUAGAACAUCAUAUUCAAUUUGUAUGGCAUGUUUGAUUCAUCAUCAAGAAUCAUGAUCGCUGCUGUCAUUUCUCCUUGAUUAUGAGAAGAUUGAAGAUGAUGAUAGGGAUGCUUCAAGUGGCGAAGAUGAUCCAAAUCCUCAAACUGCUCAAGUUGUCAUUAAUGAAGAGCAUGCCAUAAAGGUACAGUAGCUAGUAAGAAGAAAAAGAAAGCAACACUGCACCGUGUCAUAUGUAGCACGAAAAGGCAGCAAAGAUUGUCAUUGGAAAACAGCAAUUCGAAUUGUAAUUCACUAUUCAACCAUCUAAAAAAUGCACAGGUUUUUUCUCUUUGCCUAUAAUUUUACUCAGUGUAGUUCCACAGAAAUUCUGAACAUCUGUAUGUGGGAUAAAGAGAUUUUAGAAUUCCAUUUUGCUUUCAGGGGUUUGCUGAGAAGUUAUUUUGUCGCCUUCAGACUUCCAAUGAAUGUUUUGAGGUGAUUAUGAGAUCUUGGCUUUGGAAGAGUUUGUGGUGUGCCCAUUAGCAUAUGCACUUGCUUUUUUUCCCGACAUGUUUUACAAAUGGUUUUUGAGCUUAUGUAUCAUAUGUUGGGUAUCACAUAUAAUUAUGCACGCGUGUCUGUGUAUACCUUAUUUUGAGUUCUGAAAAAUAACUGGGAAGUAGGUUCAUGGACAAUGAGCAACAAGAAUGAAGAAAAUGUUGGAACACAAGGAGUUAAUUUGAGAUUCUGUUUUCCCAAAAUGCUGCAUUGGCUUGUAUACUUUUCAGUUAAAAUGAACAUUUUUUAUUGACGUCAAUUUCUGUGUAAACUUCAGGUCCAGGAACCUACUUCCCAGUUAUUUUAUUGGAUUUUUAUCCUUUUCUUCGUUCUUCGGAAAUAUGUUCAGGUGUGGUCCUAGAAUGAAUGGAAUUUAUGCUGUGGCAGCAGAAAGAUGGCCAUGGCCUUUCUUACUUUUCCAUUUUGAUUGAUUGAAUUUAAUGCUUUGAUCGUAGUUUUCUCCCCUGCAAACUUACUCUGUCGGUCUUCAUCUUCUUCUGCUAACUUCUGUAUGAUUCUCGGGCUCUCUUCCCUGCUCACUGUUUUGUUGUAUCAGGUGCCUCCUGAUGCAGUUGAGCCACUGUUCAAACAAAUAGUAAAUCAGUUUGUACAUGAUCGUUCGCGUCCCGAGGCAUGCUUAGCAGCUGCUUUGUUAUGAUUUUAUUGUGAAAGUGUAAACAGGUUGUUUCCGCUGACUCUGUUUGCUUGUUCCAGGCCAUUUCUGUUGGACAAGAGAAAAGGAGAAAGCAGAACCGUUCUGGCGAGCAGUUCCGGGGGAAGAAAGCAUGGAAAUGAUCAGAACCAUGUAUUAGCACGUCAUGAAGCUUCUUUUUUAUAUAGACAGGAAGGAUAUGGCAACGUAAACUUGCUAAUGAAAGCUUCUAGGUGAUGCAGCUUGUUAUCAGGGUUAAAUUUGUUGAUCAUGGUAUUAAAGCCAGGUGCCAAAAUUGGUGCGACUUAUUGUUGAUCAUCACAGUAGCUGGUUAGGGUUAAAUUUAUUUUUAAUAUUAAUAUAU